rnacentral:rRNA from 1 species
UACGUAGGUGGCAAGCGUUGUCCGGAUUUACUGGGCGUAAAGAGCGCGCAGGCGGUCGGAUAAGUCGAGUGUGAAAGCCCCUGGCUCAACCAGGGAGGGUCAUUCGAUACUGUUCGACUCGAAGGCAGGAGAGGGAAGUGGAAUUCCGGGUGUAGUGGUGAAAUGCGUAGAUAUCCGGAGGAACACCAGUGGCGAAGGCGGCCAUCUGGGAGGGCACUGACGCUGAGACGCGAAAGCGUGGGGAGCAAACAGG